rnacentral:tRNA from 1 species
GUCCCUGUGGCUCAGUUGGUAGAGCAUGGUGUGUGCAACGCCAGGGUUGUGGGUUCGUAUUCCCACGUGGGGCC